GACGAACGCUGGCGGCGUGCUUAACACAUGCAAGUCGAACGGAAAGGCCCUGCUUUUGUGGGGUGCUCGAGUGGCGAACGGGUGAGUAACAAGUGAGUAACCUGCACUUGACUUUGGGAUAACUUCAGGAAACUGGGGCUAAUACCGGAUAGGAGCUCCUGCUGCAUGGUGGGGGUUGGAAAGUUUCGGCGGUUGGGGAUGGACUCGCGGCUUAUCAGCUUGUUGGUGGGGUAGUGGCUUACCAAGGCUUUGACGGGUAGCCGGCCUGAGAGGGUGACCGGCCACAUUGGGACUGAGAUACGGCCCAGACUCCUACGGGAGGCAGCAGUGGGGAAUAUUGCACAAUGGGCGGAAGCCUGAUGCAGCAACGCCGCGUGCGGGAUGACGGCCUUCGAGUUGUAAACCGCUUUCGCCUGUGACGAAGCGUGAGUGACGGUAAUGGGUAAAGAAGCACCGGCUAACUACGUG
rnacentral:rRNA from 1 species